UACGUAGGGGGCGAGCGUUGUCCGGAUUUAUUGGGCGUAAAGAGCGUGUAGGCGGCCAGGUAGGUCUGCUGUGAAAACUCGAGGCUCAACCUCGAGACGUCGGCGGAAACCAUCUGGCUAGAGUCCGGAAGAGGAGAGUGGAAUUCCUGGUGUAGCGGUGAAAUGCGCAGAUAUCAGGAGGAACACCGGUGGCGAAAGCGGCUCUCUGGGACGGUACUGACGCUGAGACGCGAAAGCUAGGGGAGCAAACGGG
rnacentral:rRNA from 1 species